CUUUUGGUUUUAUUUUGUUGGUUUUCGAAACCAAAGUAAUGAUUAAUAGGGAUAGUUGGGGGCAUUACUAUUGAGCCGUCAGAGGUGAAAUUCUUGGAUUGGCUCAAGAGUAACUACUGCGAAAGCAUUUGCCAAGGAUGUUUUCAUUAAUCAAGAACGAAAGUUAGGGGAUCGAAGACGAUCAGAUACCGUCGUAGUCUUAACCAUAAACUAUGCCGACUAGCGAUCAGGCAAUGUUCAAUAAUGACUUGCUUGGCAGCUUAUGAGAAAUCAAAGUUUUUAGGUUCCGGGGGGAGUAUGGUCGCAAGGCUGAAACUUAAAGGAAUUGACGGAAGGGCACCACCAGGAGUGGAGCCUGCGGCUUAAUUUGACUCAACACGGGGAAACUCA
rnacentral:rRNA from 1 species